UUGUUUCAAACAUUAGUUGUGCUUAGUCAUAAUAUGCUAUGUGAGAGGGUUUCCAACAACCCUAGACAGGUUUCAAAUUUCAGUCCAUCAACCAUUUUCAAUCCAAGCUGAUUCCCACUUGUCAUGUUUAUCUAAUCAUAGUAUAGCAUAGCAUAGUAGAAUUCUCAGUGUGGUUUUUACUUGAUUGGAUUUCUCGGGGUUUAUGCUACAAAACAUUAGUUACUGUUCGUAGAUGAAGGAGUUAGAAUUUGUUAGUUAAAUGCAUAGUUAUUUUAUACAGACAGAAAUGGGUUGAAGUUCAAGUUGAUGUGGAGAUUUCAAUAUUUCCAUGAAGUCUCUAUUUUGCAUUCGUUAUUUAUUUUCCUACGCUGUGUUCUCCAUGAUUUCUUCAAUCACUAAUACCAUUAACAAAUCACAGAAUCCCGAGAAUUUUUUUUUUUUUGGCUUGGUGAUACUUUUUCUUCAUUUCUUUACUCAAAAUCGUUUCCGUUUUUGCUCCAAAAAGACUUUGUCGCUAGAUGGCUUUUUAUUUUUAUUUUAAACCGCACCUUGGUGGUGGCGUUCGCACGCCGCCAACGAAUUCGAAUGUUAUGUUACACUUACGCGUUAUUUUGUUCUGAACAGAAGGAAAGGAAGUGAGUUUUCCAGAAAUCAUCAUCGUUCGGCUUUAUUUAACGCGAAGCUAUUAAAGAAAACUCCAGACGAUACAAAGUUUAAUCAAAACUCUCAAUAAGGAAAAAGUAGAGAAAAGAAAACUUUAGUGUGACAAGAUGGAAAACGAAACAAUGUUGGGAGGGUCGAAAAUCUGGAGAUAUCACUUCUGAACUAGUGAACAGCCUAAAAUUUUCUAAAUUUAUUGCUCAUUGGCCUGCAAGCAACAAGGCAACAUCUGACGAUUCUGAUCUUGCCAUGAAUGGAAGAGAACCCUUGGUGCAAAAUCAUAAUUCGGUUAACUUUUGAAGAGAAAGUGAGGAGAAAAUACUUCAAGGAUCUCACUCCUCCAAGAACUAUGCAGAUUUGUUCCCGGUUUACCCUCGACGCUGUUCGUUAGACUUUAUCAAUUGGCGGGAAAUGACGAGUGGUUGGACGCGCUGAAAUUCAAGAUUGAUAAAUUAUUUAAAUGUUUAUAAAUUAAAAGUGCAUUUCUGGGCUCCCUUCUUCUCUGAGGCCCCGUUUCCCU